AUGAACGCUGGCGGCGUGCCUAAUACAUGCAAGUCGAGCGAACAGACGAGGAGCUUGCUCCUCUGACGUUAGCGGCGGACGGGUGAGUAACACGUGGAUAACCUACCUAUAAGACUGGGAUAACUUCGGGAAACCGGAGCUAAUACCGGAUAAUAUAUUUAACCGCAUGGUUCAAUAGUGAAAGACGGUUUUGCUGUCACUUAUAGAUGGAUCCGCGCCGCAUUAGCUAGUUGGUAAGGUAACGGCUUACCAAGGCGACGAUGCGGAGCCGACCUGAGAGGGUGAUCGGCCACACUGGAACUGAGACACGGUCCAGACUCCUACGGGAGGCAGCAGUAGGGAAUCUUCCGCAAUGGGCGAAAGCCUGACGGAGCAACGCCGCGUGAGUGAUGAAGGUCUUCGGAUCGUAAAACUCUGUUAUUAGGGAAGAACAAAUGUGUAAGUAACUAUGCACGUCUUGACGGUACCUAAUCAGAAAGCCACGGCUAACUACGUG
rnacentral:rRNA from 1 species